GCCACUGAGAUAUAUCAUGUAAUUUCACUUUGAGAGGAGAAGAGAAGUGAAGAUGAAGUGGUAGAUCUAUAGGUGAAUCCCGAAAUACAUAUAUCUGGGGUGUAGCUACCGCAGGCUGCUGCUACGUUACUUUAUUCCUCAGGUUGGUUCAUGCGUUUGUCUAUACAAUCCAAAUUCAGAUGCACCACAGGCAGAUCAACAUCCUCUAGCCACAAAUGUUCGUUUUACCAUCAGAGUGAGAAAUUAAUCAAGUAUCAAGCAAAUAAGACAGACAUUGGUCUGUCCCUAAUGCCUUCUUUCAUGCCCUGGUGAGUUCAGAUGUUCUACUUCUCAUAGCUGCUUAUGAGCCAUAUUUACAGAUGUAAUGAUUAUGCAAUUAUAUUUUGUCUUGCCACUUUUCAUUUUUAUUCUAGGUCAUUUGUCCAUGCUCCAGAAAGUUUCGAUCAAAUUUCAUUGUGCAUGAACCAAGAUCUACAGAUGUAAACCAGUAUCUCAUUACAUUUUCAGAAAAGUAACCAAUAUUCCUGACAUGUCUGGUUGCUUGCAGGGGAGCCGUGUUGUUCGUGUUCUCCUCCACAUGUUUGGUCUGCUUAUGUGUGUUUCUUGUAUUAUCACUUACACAGUAAGGAUAUUCUGAUGGUUAUUGUCUCUGCAAUUGGCCUGUUACAAUUGAUUCUGUUGUUGUCCAUGGGUCCUUUUAUCAGUACACCUCUACAUGUAUUUGGAAUAUAUGUAGAUAUGCACCUGUACAGAAAAGUAACCUUCGUUUCUAUUUGUUUCAGGUUUGAUGUAGGCUAUUGCUGGCUUGCUGCAACUGUUUCUCUGGCAUGUAGUCCCCUGCCUCCCCCUUGCACCACGUGUGUCAUAAAAGCAAGAAGUUGAUUACUUAGUAUGAAGGUGUUUAUGUAUGCAUUGUGCGUUUGAAAUAAUCUUGGUGCAGCUAGCUAAUGAAAUAUUGAUUCUUACUAAGAUAUUUAUGUUUGAAUUUUCCUAAAUCAGUUCAAGAUAAUCUUGGUGUGAUCAUGAAACCGAGAAGUUGAUUCAAUGCAGAUAUGGUGGUCGUAGAUGGACAAGCCUGGUGGAGUGCCAGUGAGAAGCAACGUCUUAGAAUUAAACGUUUGAGCAGCAUGUGGUUACUCAGAGCAGAGCAAUAUGUUAUGUGGUGGUCGUAGAUGGAUAAGCCCGGUGGAGUGCCAGUGAGAAGCAACAUCUUAGAAAUAAACGUUUGAGCAGCAUGUGGUUACUCAGAGCAGAGCAAUAUGUUAUGGUUGAUCAAAACAGUUUCCUUACUACCUGAAGUUCCAACCAUAGGUAAAUAGCUAUAUUCGUCACCGUAAUGUUCAUCGAUGCAUGCAUCAAGAAUUUGGUCAAUCGAACAUGUAGGUCAGCACUUUAUGGUCGCAUAAUUUUUGUUAGUACAUAAUUUCUGUUCUUCGGA